rnacentral:rRNA from 1 species
ACGGGUUAAUGAUCAAGUAU